AUAAAAUGUUGCUUUUGGGAAUCUUUUGAUGCUUCAGUACUACGAGGAUAUAGCAAUUUAACCAUUUAUAAAAAUGUUCAAGAUACAACUAUAUCUUGUACUUGUGCUUGCUUACACCAAUUUAUUACAAUUCAUACAGUAAUACACCAAAAAUAAUUCUAUAAAACUGAGAGUUACUGACAAUUUUCCGUACAAAACUAUAUUUUUUAUCUAUGAAAGUAUAAUCCAAAUUCAAAUAAAACAUAUUUAAUAAUUAAGGUGGUAUUGUUAUAAAGCUUGAAAAAAAAAUUGGUCUAUUUAAAAGUAAAACAAUAUUUUAAAAUAAUUUUUGUUUGCAAUGCAAAAAUCAAUAUAAAUCUUGUGACGCGCGGUGUUCAACUUUAGUCAGCGCCAAGCGCUUAUCGAGGGAGGACGUAUCGCUCGCUGUUGCGCCGCGCAAACUCGCCGGAGCUCGAAAAAUAUAGCGCAACCUGCGCAACGAACUCGUUUUGAUACUAGAUAAUGAAAGCAUAUUUAAUUCAGAUUAUCAGACUCAAUCGGAUACCAGUACAAAUAAUAUGGAAAAUGAAGAUACAAUACAUGGAAGACGAAUUAUAGAUUUUAGUUUUUUUAUAAAUCAAUUACUUAUACCUAAUUGAUAAACAUGGUGAAAAGUUUGGUUGUCGAUUAAAUAAUUUAAAAAUUGUAAACGA